CUAACGGCUCUCUUCAGAGCCACAAAACCCUUAUAAUCCUGAUAUA
rfam:Caenorhabditis brenneri strain PB2801 C_brenneri-6.0.1_Cont81.8, whole genome shotgun sequence.